GACGAACGCUGGCGGUAUGCUUAACACAUGCAAGUCGAACGAGACGAAGAUGUUUACAUCUUCAGAAAGUGGCGAACGGGUGAGUAACGCGUGGGUAACCUGCCCUAUGGAAAGGAAUAGCCUCGGGAAACUGGGAGUAAUGCCUUAUAAGAUACGUGCGCCGCAUGGCGCGUGUAUGAAACGCUCCGGUGCCAUAGGAUGGACCCGCGUCCCAUUAGCUGGUUGGUGAGAUAACAGCCCACCAAGGCGACGAUGGGUAACCGGUCUGAGAGGGCGAACGGUCACACUGGAACUGAGACACGGUCCAGACUCCUACGGGUGGCAG
rnacentral:rRNA from 1 species